CGGUCCAGACUCCUACGGGAGGCAGCAGUGGGGAAUAUUGCACAAUGGGCGCAAGCCUGAUGCAGCCAUGCCGCGUGUGUGAAGAAGGCCUUCGGGUUGUAAAGCACUUUCAGCGGGGAGGAAGGCGGUGAGGUUAAUAACCUCAUCGAUUGACGUUACCCGCAGAAGAAGCAUCGGCUAACUCCGUGCCAGCAGCCGCGGUAAUACGGAGGGUGCAAGCGUUAAUCGGAAUUACUGGGCGUAAAGCGCACGCAGGC
rnacentral:rRNA from 1 species